UACGGAGGGUGCGAGCGUUGUCCGGAAUCACUGGGCGUAAAGGGCGCGUAGGCGGCGCGGAUAGUCGGCGGUGAAAGCCGGAGCUCAACUCCGGGUCGGCCGUCGAUACUUCCGGGCUUGAGCACUGUAAGAGGCAGGAUGGAAUUCCGGGUGUAGCGGUGGAAUGCGUAGAGAUCCGGAAGAACACCGGUGGCGAAGGCGGUCUGCUGGGGUAAUGCUGACACUGAUGCGCGACAGC
rnacentral:rRNA from 1 species